rfam:Candidatus Sungbacteria bacterium RIFCSPLOWO2_02_FTLL_48_13b rifcsplowo2_02_scaffold_13681, whole genome shotgun sequence.
UGCCGGGUCGUCUAACGGCAGGACAGCGGCCUUUGAAGCCGUGAAUGAAGGUCCGACUCCUUCCCCGGCAG